rnacentral:tRNA from 3 species
GGGGUAUGGCGGAAUUGGUAGACGCUACGGACUUAAAAUCCGUUGGCUUUAUUGACCGUGAGGGUUCAAGUCCCUCUACCCCCA